rnacentral:tRNA from 1 species
UAGCUUAGUGGUUUAAGUUGCUGAAUUACAAGUCAGGAGGUCGGGGUUCGAAUCCC